ensembl:lncRNA
CUGCUAUGAAUUUGUCCUGAAACCCUAUAGUGAAAUUUCUCCAAAUGAACAAUAAUAAAAUCUCUAUGAUAGACAAUGUUUAAGGUCUGUACUCCAAGUAGUUUCUAAAGUGGCAGGGAGCCUUCGGCAUUUCCUCAGUAAUUGGUCCCUAAAUUGUAUCAACAAGUGCUUAUGUGCUCUUUAUAGUUUUGCUUGCUUUUGCCUUUAACCAUUUCAAUAUUCUUUCCUGAGCAAAACAUAACCUAUGCUUUAGAACAUUAAUUGAUUUUCCUUGCAACAUCCUAGGGGGUCUGAAGACCGAAGCCUCUUUGAAGAGCUCAUUUUAGGCAACAUUGGAAACGAUUUCAGAACACCAUAUAGGAUUAGUUAGAAAACCACCUGGAAACAUUUGGUAACUUUAGGUCUACCAUCAUGCUGUCACUUAGGUUGAAUCUACAGAUUUUUGGAUCCUUCUAGAGCAUACAUAUUUACCAGCUCACAGACUUAUUUAAGCACUAAAUGAAAUUAGUUCCGUCAGGGUCACAAGAUGGCUGCCAUGGUCAGAUGUCACAAACCCAUAUGGCAGUGUUCUCAGCAGGAAGGACGGGGGGAAGGCUCCUUUUUAUCAGGCAUGUAGCUGGACUCUUGAUAUUUUCCUGCUUCAGGGAUUUUCACAGGAAAGAAAGCAGAAACAAUUUGAAGACAAUUGUAUCUCCUGUCUUUUGUAAAAGCCUAAACAAAAUGAUCUUCAGCUGAGGAGUGUAUUUGACGGUAUUUAGAAAGAAGAGGGAGAGACUUCACCUAGAAUAAAAAGGUCAGAGAAGAAAGGAACAAUCUAGAGCAGGUGGGCUCUGGACACAGAUCUCUGAGCCCCAACAAAUAGUCAUAUGUCCUAAUUGGACCAGAAAAGACCAUGUUCCUGGGAUAAUGGGUAUCUUAAAGAUAGUCUGGGUGGACAGAUAAGUGAUGGCUAGGGUUUUCUCCCUAAUGUUAUGCGGCUGGGUAAGACCCUUGCAGAACCCUGAGGGGAGUCUUGGUAACUUACAUCUCCUGCCAGGAUAAAGAGAUGGGUGUUCAGAUUUAGAUUUAAUUUGAUUGCAGAGAACAAGAGAUUUUCUAUACUCUUGAAUUUGUCAACUAAAAGUCCAAACUGCCUCAAACACAUGGUUCUAUUUACAAAAUAACCAUUUACAAAGUUGGUUUUACAACCAUAUAACUGUUUGUAAUACUCUGUAUAACAUGUUAUCACCUGCAUCAUAUGAUCAUUUGAUGUCAUCUUUAGCAAAAGGACAGAGGGGCCACUUUUAUUAGUUCCUCAAGAAUAGAGCCUUAGAAAUGAUAAAUUCUUAUGAACUAUUGUUCAAAAAUAACCCCUAGUUAUCUUUAGCCUGCUCCAAAUGCCCUUCCCCCGGCUACCCCCUG